rnacentral:rRNA from 1 species
GGAAAAGGUGGGGGACCUUCGGGCCUGCCGUUGUUGGAUGAGUCCGCGGCCCAUUAGCUAGUUGGUAGGGUAAUGGCCUACCAAGGCUACGAUGGGUAGCUGGUCUGAGAGGAUGAUCAGCCACACUGGAACUGAGACACGGUCCAG